UGUCAUAAUCUAUUGAGUAGUUUGGUC
rnacentral:piRNA from 1 species